AUUUAACUUUAUCUCCAACAACUCCCCUCCGCUGACAUGAGGUGACCGUGAGCUGUUGGUUAAUCGUUUUUUCUUGUAACCAAUUUUAUGUUGGUGGAUUGAUUUAUUUUAAUUCGUUGGGGAAAAUUGAUUUUUUUUAUUUGCAGGUUUUUUAUUUCGGAGAGCAGCUUUUUGGGGUGAAGCUGUGGGAGAAAAUGGCGUGAUUUUGUCAUUGAGUUUUGUUGUUAAAUAUUUUGGGAAUUAGAAGAGGCUUUCAUCAGUCCGUGGGGUCGUGGAACCAAACGUUUUGUUGGCGAAUGGGGGACAAAGGGGAUGGAUGAAUAUGGGAAUUUGAGAGACACUGAGGCGAGUUGCCAUGAAACCGAUUUAUCGCGGGCUCCGAAAGGGGAAGCCGAGGGGGAACAGCUAGAAAGUUGCAGUCGUGGAUUUUUUUUUUGUUUCAUUGAUACUUCCAUCAUUUCAAUCAGCUUCUCUCGAGAUUAGAGCGAUAUUUCAAGGAAGAAAGCGCCGUUCUGUGGAAUGAGUUAUCGAGCGUUUGGACGCCGCUCCGAUGGGCAUAAGGUAUUGAGUUCAUGGCGACUGGGGGAAGACUGCAGCUUCAUGUUUGGAUGAUUGAGAUAUUUUUGGGGAUAAUCUUUGACACGACCAAUCGAAUCUCUGGGAUUAUCGAUAUUUAUUGGGGGAUCCGAUGGUGCAAAUUUCGGACUGAAAGCUAAGGAUCGGAAAGUGUGGAGUUGUCGGGAGAGAAAGCCAGUGCAUCGAGUCCUUUCCAAAAUAAUUUCGCGGUUUCACUUGGUGUAGAAGACAUUUGAUUUUCGGUUCACUGUGGCAAUGUCGACGCUUCAUAAGUGAGAGAACCGUUUCCGGUCUAUGUUUCUAGAUAAUUUCAUCAUGGCAAGUGGGUUUUAUUAGACUUGUUUACAAAUAGACAUGAGACCCACCCAAUCAAGGGAAAGGGAACAUCGAGGAAAUGCGUCGUAAUUCCAUUUCGAAAACUCAACGAUAUUAUGUGAGACCAAUAGUUUCCACGUAAAAAUUGGAAUCGUAGAAUGUCAAGAGACUUGUGGCGAUGGAGUUAUCUCCAUAUAACCGUGGAGUGUUUUAUUUUUACCUCGGGACUUCAUAUUUAGAGGUCUCACGGAUGGAACGAUUGGAUAAACAUCCUCUUCUGGAGUUCAUGGGGACCCGCAUCAGCAGUGAACAUCACAGAUGGAACAUUUCCAAUCUUUUCUGUGAGAACUUUACUGUUGGAAAUUUUAUUGAAUUGAAAUAAUGGUUCUUGGAGUUAUUCCCGCAAACAAAAAUCUCCAAGACGAAAUUACCUAAUAAAAAAUCCCCCAAACAACAUCCCCUAAGAAUAAAGAUAAGAAAUUAAUAAAGUUGUACGUUGGACGGCUCACUAACGACUGCCAUC